rnacentral:rRNA from 1 species
UUGACCUCGGAUCAGGUAGAGUAACCCCAAUCCC